AGCAGCCGCGGUAAUUCCAGCUCCAAUAGCGUAUAUUAAAGUUGUUGCAGUUAAAAAGCUCGUAGUUGAAUUUCGGGGUUAGUAGGUUGGUCGUGCCACUGGUACGUACUGGUCUCACUGACUCCUCCUUCCUGAUGAACUGUAAUGCCAUUAAUUUGGUGUUGCAGGGAACUGGACUGUUACUUGAAAAAUUGAGUGUUUAAAGCAAGCUAACGCUUGAAUACAUUAGCAUGGAAUAAUGAAAUAGGACGUUCGAUCCUAUUUUGUUGGUUCUAGGAUUGACGUAAUGAUUAAUAGGGAUAGUUGGGGCAUUAGUAUUCAAUUGUCAG
rnacentral:rRNA from 1 species